GCCCGGUGGUGCAGCGGUUAGCACGGCUGCCUUCCAAGAAAAAGGUUCUAGGUUUGAGUCCUGACCUGCG